rnacentral:lncRNA from 1 species
CAGACUGGUGAGCUGCAGAGGGCAGGGCUGCUGUGCCUCAAAAUGCCGCCAUCUAGUGGGGGAGGUCCCAAUGAUUGCUCUGGGGACCUGGCGGUGGCCCAGGCCAGCCCUCAGGCUCCAGGCCUUGUGGGAAAGCCGGCCCAGCUCCUCCUGGGCAGCCCUCCAGGUCUGGCACAGAGCAGUGCUGGCUGGGCCGUCCUGUGAUGUGGCAGGUGUGGCCCGCAGGUGACCCGGCGGCGGAGGAGUGGUCCCCGUGGAGCGUGUGCUCCAGCACCUGUGGCGAGGGCUGGCAGACCCGCACCCGCUUCUGCGUGUCCUCCUCCUACAGCACGCAGUGCAGCGGGCCCCUGCGCGAGCAGCGGCUGUGCAACAACUCGGCCGUGUGUCCAGGUGGGCGCGGCCGUGGGGCGCGAGUGGGCAGCAGGGCAGGUGCCGCCGACUCAGAGGGCAGCAGCGCCUUUCUGUCCCUCGACAGUGCACGGAGCCUGGGACGAGUGGUCACCCUGGAGCCUCUGCUCCAGCACCUGCGGCCGCGGCUUCCGGGACCGCACGCGCACCUGCAGGCCCCCCCAGUUUGGAGGCAACCCUUGCGAGGGUCCCGAGAAGCAGACCAAGUUCUGCAACAUCGCCCUGUGCCCUGGUAGGUGAGAGGGAGGGCCCGGGGCGGGCAGGAGGGGCGCACGUCCCAACCCCAGGAGCCCAGACCUGGCUCAGUGUGACCAGAGGCUGGACCCUCACACUGCUCAGGCGGGGUCGGGGUGCCGGUGGAGCCCUGGGGUGCUGGGUGUUCACGCUGGCUUCCUGUCUUCUUCCUCCCCUGGGCCGGGCAGUGGACGGAAACUGGAACGAGUGGUCCAGCUGGAGCACCUGCUCGGCCAGCUGCUCCCAGGGCCGGCAGCAGCGCACACGCGAGUGCAACGGGCCCUCCUACGGGGGCGCCGAGUGCCAGGGCCACUGGGUGGAGACGCGGGACUGCUUCCUGCAGCAGUGUCCAGGUCAGGGCCCCGGCCUGUAGGCCUGCAGGCAGGCCUCGGGGGAGGCCAGGCUCCCUGGGUGGCUGUGGUCCUGCAUGUGGCCGUGGGGCUGGUGCUCAGUCAGUGGGCCGGGCGCGUGCCCCGUGGUGCGGGAGCUCUGUGGUCGGCGUCUUGCUGGUCUCCGGUCUCUUGGACCCUGGUCUUGGUUUUCUUUCUCCUUGUGGCUCCUGCUCCUUGGGUUCUCAUCUCUGUCCUUGUGGCCCCAUGUGUGCCCCUGUGCCCUGUUGCUCCCUGACCCUUACCCUCCUAUCCCCACUGUCUGUGCUUCUGUCUGGCCACCCUUGCAGUGGACGGCAGGUGGCAGGCCUGGGCCUCUUGGGGCAGCUGCAGUGUCACGUGUGGUGGUGGCAGCCAGCGGCGGGAACGUGUCUGCUCUGGGCCCUUCUUUGGGGGAGCAGCCUGCCAGGGCCCCCAGGAUGAGUACCGGCAGUGUGGCACCCAGCGAUGUCCCGGUGAGAGCCCUCCCACACCGUGUUUGGGCUUUGGGGAGAGGCUUGGGGGGUCUGGGCAGCUGACCUAGUUGGAACAGUGGGUGCCAGCUCCCAGCCCCUUCCUGGUCCCCAGCCCCUCACUAUCUCUGGCCCCUUGGCAGAGCCACAUGAGAUCUGUGACGAGGACAACUUUGGAGCUGUGGUCUGGAAGGAAACACCAGCUGGGGAGGUGGCUGCAGUCCGGUGUCCGCGCAAUGCCACAGGUAAGGGGUAUGGGGGCUCCUGUGACGCCCCCAUAGAGUUGCCCCCAGGCUCCACUCUAAGGCCCAGAGCCUAGGCAGCCCCGUGUGCACGCUGAUGUCCAGUAGCACAGGCCAGGAGUUUGGGACCACGUUGUGGGGACACUUUCAGGGCAGCACCCAUGCCAUGCACUUAAUGUGAGAGUCCCUUUGUGAUUCCACACCCCCAUGAGGUCACCACAGCCCGGUCACAGGCGGGAGACUGGGGCGCGUGAAGUCAGCGCCCCCACCUGGGCUUGCAGGGCAGGGAGGAGCAAGGCUCCUGGGAGUGCAGCAUUGGUAACCCCGCGGGCCCCGAGGAGCCGCUGUGGCUGAGAGAGGGUGCGGAAAGCAGGGUGGGCUCCGUGGGGAAGGGGCUCGGCUGCACCCUGGUAUUGGCCGCCUCUCCUGCAGUCUCUGUGCUGAGGGCAGCAGGCAGGGAAACCAGGGCUCAGGUCGGGCCUCACCUCUGCCCUCUUCCCUGAAUGGCAUUGGGGCUCUCGGAACCUGCUUCCUCACCUGUGGCGGAGGCCUUAGGAGGUCCUCCACAGGGGUCCUGGGGACAAGGAGGGCAGUGGGUGCCAGGGGCAGCUGGCCACGCCUGCUGCUCCCCUCCCCUCUGGUUGUUGCUGCGUACUGCAAAUUCUCAGGAGUGAGGUGAAGGACACAGUGCCCCUCGGUGCCUUGCCCAGCCUGUCCGCGCGUGUGACUGCACCCUAGGGCCUGUUGCUUUGGUCCCAAUCUGCAUCAGUGGCCAGGGAGCUGCCUCAGGCCACCCUGUGGUCCUGUUGGAUGACAGGCUGUGAUGGCCCCACAUGGCUGUCACCUCCUUGUGUGCGUCAGCUCUCCCUCUUCCUCUGAGGACCUCCUGGGGUACCUGCCAUCAGACAGUGACCUCUGCCCCAGGCCAUUGAUGUAAUGCCAGAUAGCCCCCGAAGCUGGCCUGUGUCCUGGGCCAGCGAAGCCCUGCGCCCUGUGGAGGAAAGACGGGGGCCAGGUGCCGGUGCUCCCCAGGGCUCUGGACUGGGAGGAGCCUGGGAGAGGCCCUGGCUCCCUGCAGUGGGCCCAGGAAGGCUUGGUGCCUGCUGGGUCCCUGGCACCCCGGGCGGUGCUCAAUGGCAGCUCAGAGUUUGUGGCAUGAAGGGAACAGGGCUGGCCCGGCCUUGGGUAUCGGGGUGGAGAGUUAGUGGCAGAGCCACUCCUGCGGGAGCUGUGCGUGGGACCCCUGUGCUGGGCAGUGCACGUCCACCUGAGAAGGGGAAGGUCUCCCCAGGCCUCAUCCUGCGGCGCUGUGAGCUGGACGAGGAGGGCAUCGCCUACUGGGAGCCCCCCACCUACAUCCGCUGCGUCUCCAUCGACU